UCUACCAGGUAAACCUCCAGGAAUCCAGGUUCCUUUCUUCUCCCUCCUGGAGGUGACUUGGCAAGAGUCAUUUGAUCAUUAGGACAGGCUUACUUGUUCGUAGUGCUCUGCUUAAGCAUGUGUGAGCGUGUGUGAGCGUGUGUGAGCGUGCAUGAGCGUGCGUGUGUGUGAGUGUGUGUGAGCAUGCAUGUGCAUAUGUGUGCAUGAGCAGGCCUUUUGCAGAGGUCAUGCAGCCUGUUACAUAGGAACAAGGGUGAUGUGAGAAUCUGAACUAUGCCCAUCUGACCCCACAUCACAGUUUAGGUGCAUUUCAAGGACUGAAGUCAUUGCAUGGUCUUUUAGGAACAGAGCAAAGAGGCUUAAUGCAACCAUUGCAACAGGGCCAGCGGGCAUUGGAAAAGGUGUCUUGGGGUCUGAGCACAGGAUGGGAGGGUGGUGGAGUUUCUCUCAAGCUCUACCAUAACGCCACAACCGCCAAUGUCAACUGUCAACAGUGAAGCAUUGCCUGGUGCCUGUCCCUGUGCUCAGCACUCCAUGAACAGCAUCUUUUCACGAGGAAGAUGUUCUCGACCCCAUUUUACAGAGGCACCGAGAGGCACACAGCUAGGAUUUGAGUGAGCUGCUCCAAAGCCCGAGGUGUUAAACCUUCAGCUCAAUUUUUAGCAACUGGCUUCAAACCAUUAUUGUCUCCCUGUUUCCUUGUGCUCACCUCAGUGAGCAUGGGCAAAUGUGACGAUCACCGAGACGGGACUCCAAAGUGAAGACCAGCAAGUUUUCUCCGAUCACAGGGGAGUGACCUCCACCUUCAGGACACAGCGGCAGGCAUGAGGGUGAAAAACCAGUCUCUACCUCAGAGCAAAGCCUGUCCAAGGAAGGGACAUGACCUUUGUCUUUGGAAAGACCCACAGAGCACUCCUAGG
rnacentral:lncRNA from 1 species